CAGUGAGUGUGUGUGUCUCUGUCAGUGUGUCUGUCUCUGUCAGUGUGUGUGUCUGUCACUGAGAGUAUGCCUGCCAGUGAGUGUGUAUAUGUGUCUGCCAAUGAAUGUGUAUGUCUGUUAGUGAAUUUGUGUGUCUGUCAUUGUGUGCCUCUGACACUUAGUGGGUGGGUGUCUGACACUGAGUAUAUAUGUGUCUGUCAGUGAGUGUGUAUGUGUGUUUG